GGCAAGAUGGCCGAGCGGUCUAAGGCGGUAGAUUCAAGAGGAAGCUCCUCUUAUUCUCUCUUUAAAAGAGAAUCCUACUCUCGAAGGAGGCCGGGGUUCGAAUCCCCGUCUUGUCA